rnacentral:rRNA from 1 species
AUUGAACGCUGGCGACAUGCCUUACACAUGCAAGUCGAACGGCAGCACGGGUGCUUGCACCUGGUGGCGAGUGGCGAACGGGUGAGUAAUACAUCGGAACAUGUCCUGUAGUGGGGGAUAGCCCGGCGAAAGCCGGAUUAAUACCGCAUACGAUCUACGGAUGAAAGCGGGGGACCUUCGGGCCUCGCGCUAUAGGGUUGGCCGAUGGCUGAUUAGCUAGUUGGUGGGGUAAAGGCCUACCAAGGCGACGAUCAGUAGCUGGUCUGAGAGGACGACCAGUCACACUGGAACUGAGACACGGCCCAGACUCCUACGGGAGGCAGCAGUGGGGAAUUUUGGGCAAUGGGCGAAAGCCUGAUCCAGCAAUGCCGCGUGUGUGAAGAAGGCCUUCGGGUUGUAAAGCACUUUUGUCCGGAAAGAAAUCCUUGGCCCUAAUACGGUCGGGGGAUGACGGUACCGGAAGAAUAAGCACCGGCUAACUACGUG